rnacentral:misc_RNA from 1 species
CUCAGGCUGACUCCAUAAUCAUGGCUUACCCCAAAAAACGAAAAUCACCCAAGCAAGCAUCCUACAUACAGUAUAAGACUCCUGAAACAUCUGAAACAAGCACAGAAACAUCCAGAAAUAAAAAAAAAGGUCAAACUGAAGUCCUCCAGUCGGGCACUCGGGCAUCCUUCGCACCGUGUUUUUCAUGCCUCAUUGUCAUCAUCCUCUUGGCAUUCUCCAAGAUUCAGCUGAUCACCUCCCCCAUCAUUUCAACAAUUGAAUGCCAGAAUCUCCAUCGCCACCUGCAACAUAGUGUUCACUCCUUCAACGAGU